rfam:Myotis brandtii contig279398, whole genome shotgun sequence.
GGCGGUUCUCAGGUGAGGCACCCCGGUAUCGGGCUCCCUCCUUUCUGGUUCUGGGGUGCGUCUCGUGAGAAAUGCC